UACGGGGGGGGCAAGCGUUGUUCGGAAUUACUGGGCGUAAAGGGCGUGUAGGCGGCCAACUAAGUCCGACGUGAAAUCCCCAGGCUUAACCUGGGAACUGCGUCGGAUACUGGAUGGCUUGAAUUCGGGAGAGGGAUGCAGAAUUCCAGGUGUAGCGGUGAAAUGCGUAGAUAUCUGGAGGAAUACCGGUGGCGAAGGCGGCAUCCUGGACCGGCAUUGACGCUGAUGAGCGAAAGCCAGGGGAGCAAACGGG
rnacentral:rRNA from 1 species